UCCUGGAUAGCUCAGUUGGUUAGAGUGUGGUGCUGAUAAUGCCAAAGUUGCGGGUUCAGUCCCCGUAAGGGAC